UUUGAGAAAUGGGUAGUAUGCUAUCUGUUUCGUUUAUUUAAUUUAGAAAUAAAUUUAGCUAGAAAUGUGAAUUAAUUAGAAUUCGAACUUAGAAUUUCGGAUACCAACCAUCAAAUCCUUUAUCACUUAACACUUGUUGAACCUGACAUGUGGACUCCACCACACAGCCAACAAGCGUGAUAUAUUAACUGUUACAUUGAAGAUUCCUCACUGUUAGGGAAGUUCAUACUUCAUAGAUGUGGAUAACCAAAAUUUUACCGCAGCUCGAAUCCGAAUAUAAUGGAUUUAUCCGAUGUUAAAUUGAUAUAGUUUCGAAUAUGAAUAUCAAGACCGAUUUGACGAAUUUGGAUUCGGGUAUGCAUUUUGAUUGUACCCAAUUCGAACUCGAAUCUGAUCCGAACUUGAAAUUAUUUUACAUUAUAUAUAUAAUAUAUAUAAAUAUUUGAUGUUGUAUUUGAAUUUGUAUUUUAAAAAUUUAGAUUUAAUGUAAUAUAUUUUGAAAUAUUAUAGAGAGAAAUAAUUAUUUCGGGUUCGGGCUUGAGUUCGGGUUUCGAAUUUUUGGUCGAAUUCAGGUUUGGAUGUAGAUUUUUAAAAUCCAUUAGAUUUGGAUUUGGAUUUGAAUUUUGGGUUUGGUAAUUGAGUUUGGAUUUUAAUUUUUAAAAAUUUGUCCUAAAUCCGACCAAUGACAUCCCUACUCGCUGUUCAGGUAUAUGUUCUGGUGCAGGGACUCGUGCACCUGUCACUCUCAAUAUAUAGAACAACAAUUUCCGCGGCUUUGACAACGUAUACAAAUUUUUUUUUGACUAAAUUAUAAAAAACAUGUCAACAUAUAUUAUCUUUCCAAUUUUGGCACUUUUGAUGUUAAAAAUCUUCUAAGGCCUCUCUAAGGCUUAAUUUGGUAUUGAAGUCUAUCUAACGUAGGAAUAUACUUCUACGUUCUUCGAUGGGAUCGUAGGAAAUAUAUCGUAACCGACUCAUCGCAAUAUGCGGUCCGCACGUAGGAAAUAUAUCGUAACCGACUCAUCGCAAUAUGCGGAACGCAAUAUUACGUACGGAAACAAACAGGAUAUUUUUCUAACGUAAUUUCCCACUGCACGUAAUGCAAUCUCCCCGCAAUUACCGCACAUAACGCAAUUUCUCCGCAAUCCCAAACGAAAGUCUAAGUCUUCGUUUAGGAUUUGUAGAUAUACUGUGACACCUAUGAUGAGAAAAUAAAAAAAAAAUAUUCUAUUUAUUUUAAUAUGUAAACUUAGGUUUCGAACAUUAUAACGAAUCGGUAUAUUUUCUAUGAUCCUGCCAGAAAGCAUAGAAGUAUAUUUUUUAGGGCUUAUUUGGUUAUAGUGUUUUUAAUAUGUCUAAAGAAGUGGACGUCAGAAUUAUAAAAUUUCAUAUUUGUU
rnacentral:lncRNA from 1 species